UGGGGCAUAGCCAAGUGGUAAGGCAUUGGACUUUGACUCCAAGAUGCAUGGGUUCGAAUCCUAUUGCCCCAG
rnacentral:ncRNA from 15 species